UACAGAGGGUGCAAGCGUUAAUCGGAAUUACUGGGCGUAAAGCGUGCGUAGGCGGUUAUGUAAGUCAGGUGUGAAAGCCCCGGGCUCAACCUGGGAAUUGCAGUUGAGACUGAAUAGCUAGGGUGCGGAAGAGGGAAGCGGAAUUUCCGGUGUAGCGGUGAAAUGCGUAGAUAUCGGAAGGAACACCAGUGGCGAAAGCGGCUUCCUGGGUUGUUACUGACGCUGAGGUACGAAAGCGUGGGGAGCAAACGGG
rnacentral:rRNA from 1 species